UGGGGAAUCUUGCACAAUGGGGGCAACCCUGAUGCAGCGACGCCGCGUGAGCGAUGAAGCCCUUCGGGGCGUAAAGCUCUUUCGACCGGAACGAUAAUGACGGUACCGGGAGGAGAAGCUGCGGCUAACUACGUGCCAGCAGCCGCGGUAAUACGUAGGCAGCAAGCGUUGUUCGGAGUUACUGGGCGUAAAGAGUGCGUAGGCGGUUUUCUAAGUUCGGUGUGAAAUCUCCCGGCUUAACUGGGAGGGUGCGCCGAAGACUGGGAAGCUGGAGUGUGGGAAAGGCAGGCGGAAUGCCGGGUGUAGCGGUGAGAUGCGUAGAUAUCAGGAGGAACACCUGCGGUGUAGACGGCUUGCUAGACCAUAACUGACGCUGAGGCACGAAAGCGUGGGUAGCAAACA
rnacentral:rRNA from 1 species